CGGGGUUAGCAUGCGGUUGCUUCUGUUAUUCGUUAUAUUGUGCGCAUUUUGGGAACGAUGCAACACAAAUCAGUCAAACUCUACUGAAUUUACAAGCGAUUGCUGGUUCAAUUACACGAAAAUUCUUAACGGAACCACAUUAGGCUUGGAGGAUCCUUGCGUAGGACUGUCUUGCACAAAUGGUACCAUCAAACUUGUAGACUGCAACACUACAAAGCCAGAUCGAGGUGACAGUUGUGUGUAUGAGCCUCAUAGAGGAAAUUGGCCAGAGUGCUGCCAGUGGGUGCGCGCAUGUUAGCGAUGGCUCAAAAUACCUUGCGAGUACUUUGAGGCUGUCCUGUAGUACUCGCUA